GCUGAGCGGAAGCAGGGGUCACGUGGCUGAGGAAGGCGGAAGUGCGUGUCUUUGACCGUGGUACGUGUCUGCCACCGUUCUCCCCAGAGCUGACCAUCCGGAAGGUCACUUAAGAGUCGCGAGUGCUCCUGAACUGGCGAGCGACUGUCCGCCCAACCUCCUCGGCACUUUCUUGGCCUUUUGCUGGACCAGGAAGUCCUGAGUCAAUUUCCCAGCGGAGCACCACUUUUCCGGACCCACAACAAGCGAUCUCUGCGGUCAGUCAGCCUGUGGGGCUACAAGAGCAAUGUGGAUAUUAGACCCUUGCUCAAGAAUGAAGAAUUUGAAGUGUGACCUUUGACAUCAGCAGGUCCGCCCUCCUUCCCACCCCCACAUUAAGGCUUGAGGUCAGCAACAAGAGGUCCGGGAUCCUUCAUCCAUGGCAAGGGGAGCCCGCCGCUUGCCAUCCAUUACACAAGCACAAGGCCGGACCCACACGCUGCACCCAGCGUGGCUCCAGGGGCUUACAUCUCAGUGGACAGCAACUCCGCCCGGCCCUUCGUUCCUGUACAAAAGAAUGGGGUCACCCUUGACUCCUCCUCUCCCCCUACCUCCAGUCCAUCAAGAAAUUCUGAUGGCUCUGAACUUAAAAUUAGAUCCACGAGAAUAGCAUCCAUCCUCAAGAAACACAGAAGUUCGAAAUCAAGCUGGUGGCAGAAUCGGUUCCUGCUAGAGGCUGUUGGGGGAGAAUCUGACCCAGGC